AUCCUUGUAGCGAAAUGGAUAGCGUAUUGGAUUUCUAAUCCAAAAGUCCUGGGAUCGAAUUCCACCUAGGAUG